rnacentral:rRNA from 1 species
AAGGAUUUUAUAUAGGGGUUUUAACCGUCAGGAUGAACGCUGGCGGCGUGCCUAAUACAUGCAAGUCGAGCGAAUGGAUUAAGAGCUUGCUCUUAUGAAGUUAGCGGCGGACGGGUGAGUAACACGUGGGUAACCUCCCAUAAGACUGGGAUAACUCCGGGAAACCGGGGCUAAUACCGGAUAACAUUUUGAACCGCAUGGUUCGAAAUUGAAAGGCGGCUUCGGCUGUCACUUAUGGAUGGACCCGCGUCGCAUUAGCUAGUUGGUGAGGUAACGGCUCACCAAGGCAACGAUGCGUAGCCGACCUGAGAGGGUGAUCGGCCACACUGGGACUGAGACACGGCCCAGACUCCUACGGGAGGCAGCAGUAGGGAAUCUUCCGCAAUGGACGAAAGUCUGACGGAGCAACGCCGCGUGAGUGAUGAAGGCUUUCGGGUCGUAAAACUCUGUUGUUAGGGAAGAACAAGUGCUAGUUGAAUAAGCUGGCACCUUGACGGUACCUAACCAGAAAGCCACGGCUAACUACGUGCCAGCAGCCGCGGUAAUACGUAGGUGGCAAGCGUUAUCCGGAAUUAUUGGGCGUAAAGCGCGCGCAGGUGGUUUCUUAAGUCUGAUGUGAAAGCCCACGGCUCAACCGUGGAGGGUCAUUGGAAACUGGGAGACUUGAGUGCAGAAGAGGAAAGUGGAAUUCCAUGUGUAGCGGUGAAAUGCGUAGAGAUAUGGAGGAACACCAGUGGCGAAGGCGACUUUCUGGUCUGUAACUGACACUGAGGCGCGAAAGACGG